UAAGUUCUUCAGGGCAGGGUGAAAUUCCCUACCGGCGGUACAGCCCGCGACCCUCUUACCCAAGAGGCUGAUCUGGUGAGAUUCCAGAGCCGACAGUAUAGUCUGGAUGGAAGAAGAGACUU
rnacentral:ncRNA from 2 species